rnacentral:rRNA from 1 species
UUGGAGGGCAAGUCUGGUGCCAGCAGCCGCGGUAAUUCCAGCUCCAAUAGCGUAUAUUAAAGUUGUUGCAGUUAAAAAGCUCGUAGUUGAAUUUCGGGACUAUCAUGUCGGUCGUGCCUCGGUACGUACUGGCAUUGUUGGUUUCUACCUUCUGACGAACCAUGAUGUCAUUUAUUUGGUGUCGUGGGGAAUCAGGACUGUUACUUUGAAAAAAUUAGAGUGUUUAAAGCAGGCCUAUGCUCGAAUACAUUAGCAUGGAAUAAUAGAGCAGGACGUGUGGUUCUAUUUUGUUGGUUUCUAGGACCGCCGUAAUGAUUAAUAGGGAUAGUCGGGGGCAUCAGUAUUCAAUUGUCAGAGGUGAAAUUCUUGGAUUUAUUGAAGACUAACUACUGCGAAAGCAUUUGCCAAGGAUGUUUUCAUUAAUCAGUGAACGAAAGUUAGGGGAUCGAAGACGAUCAGAUACCGUCGUAGUCUUAACCAUAAACUAUGCCGACUAGGGAUCGGAUGAUGUUAAUUUUUUAACGACUCAUUCGGCGCCUUACGGGAAAC